rnacentral:lncRNA from 1 species
CACCUCCCCCAGUCUCUCACACUCAGCUUAAAGCCUUGACUUGAUACUUCAGCAGAAAUGACAGAAUCCAGAGUCAAGGCUUACCUAGGCUCAGAACUGGGGGAUGCUGGGCAUGGUGGUGCAUGCCUGUAAUCCCAGCAUUUGGGGGCGGAGGCUGAGGCAAGAGGAUCACUGUGAGUUCGAGGCCAGCCUGAGCUACAUAGUGAGUUCAAGGCCAGCCUGAGCUACAUAGCAAGAUCUGGUCUCAAUCCCCUCACCCCCCAAAAAGAACUAGAGGAUUACUUCAGAAACAACAACACGUAAGACACCAAUACAGGCUCAAACAUUUUCCUUAUCUGCAUCCCGCUGUAUCAUACCACAUACCUCUGACACUGGCUUGCUGCCUCUGUUAUUUUUUCUUUGCAUUAUCUGACUACUGUUUUAUUUACAUCCUUAGGUUUCUGCCAUUCUUUCUCUCUCUUUUAGGGUGAUCAUAUGCCCUAGUUUUCCCAGGACAGUCCUAGUUUAUCCCCAUUUCUUGGAUUAAUUAACAGUGACUCUUUUUACUAUCAGAAAUGUUCCAGUUUGGUUGAUUAUCAAAAUGAUAGAGUCAAUCCAUCUAAGCUGCUCUUUGGUUUUCCUUAUUUCCUCCCUCCUAGCUCCCCUAACCACCUUUCUCUAACAUCUUUGAGGCCCUGGCAGAAUCUUUCCAACACUCUCUUCAUGUUGCCACCCUUCUCCAUGGAGAUGACCUUUUAUGAUCCUCCUCAUUCACCCAGAUCAAGAAGCUCUUCUCAUUGAUCUACCUGGGGCCAGGAGGUAAAGUGAUCAAGAGGCAAGACAAGAAUUGGGAGAGAUAGAGGAAAAAAGAAUUUUUGUCGGCAUGGAGAAUAAAAUAGGAGUGCACAGCCAGCACCAGCUGUAAUCAUCUCUUUAGAAGCCAGUGGUUUGCAGAGGGAGCCCUAUGAGAAGGUUGAGGAGUUCUCCACACAGCAAAAAUCCAAAGGAAGCAGGAAGAACAGAGAGGAAACUUGAGCUGAUUGACAUAUUUCAUAGCCAAGAGUCUCAACUUAAUUUAUUAAAUGAUGGAAGCCUCUGCCGGUGCUGAGAAAUAAACAUUCAGUUUAAUAUAGAAACUGUGCACCAUAUAAUGGAGAAAAUAAUUGCCUCCCUCAAGAAAAUCAGGACCAUUGUGCAGUGUCUGGAUGACGUUGGCUAGAAAUCAAUGGCCGGGGUGGGGUGUGAAGAAAGGAAAAACCGUGGGGACCCAGGACCUGUGCACUUGGGGAAACGUUCGCUCCCCCAUAGGGAUUUGGGCUGCUUUGAGAGUAUUUGCACGCACUUACCUACGGACACCGUGGAGCGGGGGGCAGGUGGCUAAACCCUCGCCAAACAAGCUCCAAGAGCUCGAGGUGAGGCUGUGGCCCCGAAGGAGAGUCUUCGGUUUCCCUCCCAGGCUCCCCGGGGACCUGCACAGGUUUCCUAGCCCGCCCUCGGCACCGAACCUCCAGCCCCCGGAUGGGGCACAGGCAGCCCGCACUGCGCAAGCCCAGCCGCGCCCGAGAGCCCUCCACGUGGCGCCGAGAACGCGACCAGCGCAAGGCCUGGGGACGCGGUGCGGGAGACACGACUUGCAAAGUUGCCGCCGCCGCGCUUCCCAGCAUGUCGAAGGUGGCGGCGAGGCGGGCCGCGGGGUGAUGCAGCGCCACGCCCGGGAGCCGCCAGCACCCGACUGCUGGUUUGGCGAGGGGGGUUCUGCGAGGUGAAGCCAGGCGGCGAUAGCCAGGCCAGGCGCACCCUCGGUCAGAGGUCCUGCCCCCCAUAACCAAUACCGCUGAGUGGCCUGUGCAGCGAGAGGGCAGCUGGCCUUGCGCUCGUCCUGCAUGAGGGUCGCCAGGACCAGGCGCAGACCUGUGAAGUUGGGCUGAGUGAGGGGGCAUAGCGCUUCCACGCUGAGGUGAGGCCCAGAAUGGGAAUAGAGGAGAGACGAAGCAGGCCUCGAAGCCGGCCUCGUCGGAGAGGACAUGCUUGAACAUGACACGUCUUCAAAACGUCAGGGUGUUGCAUUUUAUACAGUUCCCCUAGAGUUUAUUUUUCUUUGGGGGAGGGGGGUAGCCACCAACCCCCUUAUUGCCGGAUUGCUGCAGGUCCAGAUGGAGCCUGGUCUUCUUUGUACAGCCUUAGGGCGCCUGAACUAGUGGCAGCUGCUUUUUUAUUGAUGUUUUAAAAAUGACUUUUUAAUUAGAAAUGCUGUCGAAACGUGAAGGUGCCGGAACAUGGUGACUGAAUACUCUCUCUUACUUUUUUUUUUUUUUUUUUUGUGAUGCUGGAGAUUGAACCCAGGGCCUUCCCACUGUGCUCAAUCCCCAGUCCUUUUUAAAUUCUUUUGUAUUGAGAUAGGGUUUUGCUAAAUCCCUAAUUUGACCAGGCUGGGUUUACACUUGGGAUCCUCCUCAGCCUCCCAGAGUGCUGGGAUCACAGGUGUGAAUGCACUACCAGAACUAGCCUUCUAUAUGACUCUUUUUACCCUCUCUGGUACCAAGGAGCAAACUCAAGUCCUUGCACUUGGGCAAGCGCGGCACCACUGAGCUAAAUUCCCCGGCCCCAUGACUCUUACAGUAGCUUCUUUUGUUUCAACAAACUUUGAGUUUUGGUGUGUUUUCUCUAACUGCACAUCGCUCCUGGAUAUGAGGCUUCUUCAAGAUCUCCUAAAAGCAGAGAGGAUGAGGAGGGGCAACCAAAACAAAACAAACAAAAAACAACAACAAAAAACCCUCUACUGGUACAAUUCUAGGAAUGAAGUGACCCUUGACCCUCAAUUAUUCUAUGUAUUCUCUUAAUAGAGGUGGAUAGAGGUCACCGUGCAGGGCACAUGCACCUGCCCAGAGUUGAUGCCAUUCGUUCUUGUCACACUGAUACUUUCUCAUCCAGCGUUUGCAAGGCUUGCACUGACCUGUGCCACGGCAUUCUACCCAGGAGGUAUUUGGUCAGCAGCCUAUUUCUUUGCCACACUACAUUUAAGACUCCUGUUCAUGUCCUCCAAAGAAGAGGAAGAAGCAGAGAGAGAAAUUUAAGGGCAGAAAUUCAGGGAAGAUUGGUUUGAUUGCUGGUUUGGAAGUUACACCAAACUUAGUAAAAUAGGAUUUUAUAAGUGAAACUUUUUUUUCAGUACUGAGUGUUAAACCCAGGGCCUUAGUGAGCUACACCCCAGCCCUUUUUGAAAAUUUUGAGACAGGGUCUCAUUAAAUUGCCCAGGCUGGUUUCAAAUUUGUAAUCUUCCUACCUCAGCCUCCCAGAGUGCUGGGAUUACUGGCGUGGGCCACCGUACCUGGUUUAUAAGUAAAACUCUUUGAAUCCAAGAAAUAGAGCACAUGUCUCUCCUUUUUAGACUACUAUCUUGGCUAACUUAGGCAAAUUUCUGCCAAAGAUACUUGAAACUCAUGGGCAUGGUCGUGUUGGUCAUAAGCAAUACAUUAACCCUCACUCUGCACCAACAAAAUUGUUAGUUGCAGAGCAAGUCCUCACCCUAAGGGACUUUUUCAUGGAUGGUCCCUAGCUCUAUUUGCUUUUCAGAAUCCCCAAAGACUUUUUUUGUUAUAUUUGACCUCUAUCCUCCUCCCUUUUUCCCUCUAUAGUCUCAUGUGUUGCUAAUGAUGGCCUUUUCUCUUGUGCUCAAGCAGGCCUCCUGCCUCAGCCUCCUGAGUAGCUGGGGCUACAGGCAGCCACUAUCUUUUUUAAAAUUUUUAAUUCUAGAUCUUUUCUGUCAGAAGAACUUAUGUUAGAAGAGCAGUACCAGCUAGUGUGCUUUUCCAUAAAGCCUUGAGGUGUACAGUAGAUUUCCAGGGAGCUCGGUAGGCUUCAUGUUUGGUGCAGUCAUUGGCCACCUCUUGUUUUAUGGGCUGAAUGGGUUACUGAGUGUAUCUGUUAUUGAGUAGCUCCUUCUAGAAAUGGCUUGCCAAAUAAAUGUUACUGGGUUUGAG